AUACGUAGGUGACAAGCGUUAUCCGGAUUUACUGGGCGUAAAGGGCGUGUAGGCGGUCUUGCAAGUCAGAAGUGAAAUUCCUGAGCUCAACUCGGGCGCUGCUUCUGAAACUGCAGGACUUAAGUGCUGGAGGGGAUAGCGGAAUUCCUAGUGGAGCGGUAAAAUGCGCAGAUAUUAGGAAGAACACCGGUGGCGAAGGCGGCUAUCUGGACAGUAACUGACGCUGAGGCGCGAAAGCGUGGGGAGCAAACAGGAUUAGAUCCCCUGGUAGUCCACGCCGUAAACGAUGAAUACUAGGUGUAGGGGGUAUCGACUCCCUCUGUGCCGCAGUUAACACAAUAAGUAUUCCGCCUGGGGAGUACGGCCGCAAGGUUGAAACUCAAAUGAAUUGACGGGG
rnacentral:rRNA from 1 species